ACCAAGGCAUUUCUCGGUGUCCAAAUAAGCGCACUAGCGAGCAAAGUUUGUUAGACAGAAAUCAAGCAUGGCUUUCGGUAUGGCUUUCAGGACAGCACUGCUGUGCCUUCUUGGCAUGCUGAUAGCUUCCCCUGCCAUUGCCGUUUCUGAUUCUGGUAUAUACUACCAGAUUGGUUUGAUGUGGCCGGGAGCAUACUGCGCGCAGACCACCCGCGGAUGCUGCAUGCCCAAGAGCCCUAUCGUGCCGGCGGCCGACUUCUACGUAUCGGGCUUUACCGUCUUCAACGCGACGACCGACGCCCCCGAGACCAGCUGCAGCGGCACUCCUUUCAACUCCGGCGAGAUUCUGGAAAUCAGCGGUCUGAGGCAGUUCUGGAGCAACAUCAAGUGCCCCAGCAACAACGGACAGAGCAGCUGGAAGAGCGCCUGGAAGACGUCCGGCGUCUGCUCCGGCCUCGACGACAAGGCCUACUUCCAAGCCGCGAUCGCCCUCCGUAGCAAGAUCAAUCCCCUCUCUCGCCUCGUCUCCAAAGGGAUCAAGCCGGACUUUGGCCUGUACAGCUUGGAGAAGAUCAAGAAGGUCAUCCAGGCGGGCACCGGCGUGACGCCGGUGAUCCAGUGCAGCAAAGGGCCGUUCGAUAAGUUCCAGCUGUACCAAAUCUUCAUCUGCGUGGCCGGGGACGCCAAAACGCUCAUCGAGUGCCCGAAACCGCAGAAAUUCACGUGCUCCGACGACAUCCUCUUCCACCCCUUCAAGAAGUGGAUGCUAAAGCAGGCCGCGUCCUCGGUGUCCUACGCCGAAGCAUUCGAGAUGGCCGGAGCUGUCAUGGGAUACUGAGCUGCAGCUGCAGAUCGGUAGCCGGUCGGGCCCUUGACCGGCCUCGUUUUGUGAGUUGCGUUCAAGCGAAUAAUUAAUAGUAGUAUAUGCAUGGAAUAAUGUUUUCGCCUUUCCGGACAUUUCAUCUCGCGCGUGGUGUGAUAAUAAUGUAAUCCUAGGGUACCGCAAUAUUGAUUACCAAGUCGAUCUGUAACGCUUUCAUGAAUAAUAAUAAUAAUAAUAAUAAUAAAACAAUAGUACAUUUGUGUC